rnacentral:rRNA from 1 species
GAUGAACGCUGGCGGCGUGCCUAAUACAUGCAAGUCGAGCGAACGGACGAGAAGCUUGCUUUUCUGAUGUUAGCGGCGGACGGGUGAGUAACACGUGGAUAACCUACCUAUAAGACUGGGAUAACUUCGGGAAACCGGAGCUAAUACCGGAUAAUAUUUUGAACCGCAUGGUUCAAAAGUGAAAGACGGUCUUGCUGUCACUUAUAGAUGGAUCCGCGCUGCAUUAGCUAGUUGGUAAGGUAACGGCUUACCAAGGCAACGAUGCAUAGCCGACCUGAGAGGGUGAUCGGCCACACUGGAACUGAGACACGGGCCAGACUCCUACGGGAGGAAGCAGUAGGGAAUCUUCCGCAAUGGGCGAAAGCCUGACGGAGCAACGCCGCGUGAGUGAUGAAGGUCUUCGGAUCGUAAAACUCUGUUAUUAGGGAAGAACAUAUGUGUAAGUAACUGUGCACAUCUUGACGGUACCUAAUCAGAAAGCCACGGCUAACUACGUG